GUGCCAGCAGCCGCGGUAAGACGAACCGUGCGAACGUUGUUCGGAAUCACUGGGCUUAAAGGGCGCGUAGGCGGGCUGCCAAGUCUGGGGUGAAAUCCCACGGCUCAACCGUGGAACGGCCUCGGAUACUGGCGGCCUCGAGGGAGGUAGGGGCAUGCGGAACUAUGGGUGGAGCGGUGAAAUGCGUUGAUAUCCAUAGGAACUCCGGUGGCGAAGGCGGCGUGCUGGACCUCUUCUGACGCUGAGGCGCGAAAGCCAGGGGAGCGAACGGGAUUAGAUACCCGUGUAGUCC
rnacentral:rRNA from 1 species